GUGGCUCAGUGGUAGAGCAUCUGCUUGGCAUGCAGAAGGUCCCAGGUUCAAUCCCCAGCACCUCCA
rnacentral:tRNA from 1 species